UAAAUCAUCUUUUUCAUUUUCAAACUCCACAGACGACAGAGCUUUAAUUAUUUUUUCCUUGAUCUUGCUUAUAAGUUGGAGCCAGUACCAAUACCAUGGAGAUUGAAAGCAGCUUUGGAGAAGGGUUUUUGAAGGUGUUUUUAUUUCUUAUCGUGCAAGCACUAGUUUAUGCCAUUCUUUCACAAUCUUCAAAUAUUUUUUCCAAUACUCCCAGCUCAUAUAGUUUCAAACCAUCUCGCUCACUUAGCAUUCGCCGAUGGGCCGCUGCUUUGGCUGAUAUUCCGUCUGGUGAGUUGUCCCCGUAAUCUCGGAACAAUUCAAUUUCCUGAGAUCCGUAGUCUUAGGCUUUUGUGGUUUUAAUUUUGUCUUUUGUUAAUUGUUUUGUGGUAUCGAUUUGGUUUGUGAUACUGCUGAUAUUAUUUUGUUCUUUUAUGUUUGGUUAUGUAAUUAUUUGAAUUUAUACGAAUUUGAGGUUCCUCAAUGUCAAUGGCGUCUCAGGUACAAUUGCAAGG
rnacentral:lncRNA from 1 species